rnacentral:rRNA from 1 species
AGAGCGAACGCUGGCGGCAGGCCUAACACAUGCAAGUCGAGCGCGUGUAGCAAUACACGAGCGGCAGACGGGAGAGUAACACGUGGGAACGCGCCCUUCGGUUCGGAAUAACUCAGGGAAACUUGAGCUAAUACCGGAUACGCCCUUACGGGGAAAGAUUUAUUGCCGAAGGAACGGCCCGCGUCCGAUUAGCUAGUUGGUGAGGUAACGGCUCACCAAGGCGACGAUCGGUAGCUGGUCUGAGAGGAUGACCAGCCUCACUGGGACUGAGACACGGCCCAGACUCCUACGGGAGGCAGCAGUGGGGAAUAUGGACAAUGGGCGCAAGCCUGAUCCAGCCAUGCCGCGUGGAUGAUGAAGGCCUUAGGGUUGUAAAGUCCUUUUAACGGGGAAGAUAAUGACGGUACCCGUAGAAUAAGCCCCGGCUAACUUCGUGCCAGCAGCCGC